rnacentral:tRNA from 1 species
GCCGAUGUAGCUCAGCUGGCUAGAGCAGCUGAUUUGUAAUCAGCAGGUCGGGGGUUCAAGUCCCUUCAUCGGCU